rnacentral:misc_RNA from 1 species
GAUGAAGAACGUAGCGAAAUGCGAUAAGUAAUGUGAAUUGCGGAAUUCAGUGAAUCAUCGAAUCUUUGAACGCACAUUGCGCCCGCCAGUAUUCUGGCGGGCAUGCCUGUUCGAGCGUCAUUUCAACCAUCAAGCCCCCGGGCUUGUGUUGGGGACCUGCGGCUGCCGCAGGCCCUGAAAAGCAGUGGCGGGCUCGCUGUCACACCGAGCGUAGUAGAUUUUAUCUCGCUCUGGGCGUGCUGCGGGUUCCGGCCGUUAAACCACCCUUUUAACCCAAGGUUGACCUCGGAUCAGGUAGGAAGACCCGCUGAACUUAAGCAUAUCAAUAAGCGGAGGA